CCCGUCUGCCGGUGCCUGGACACGACACGGCUGCACCUUUGCUGGGCACAAGAAAGGACCAAAACAGCCGAACAAAGGAAAUUUGUACAUCUAAACAGUGACUGCUGAAGACAGAAAGAACCAUGUGAGUACGUCUGAGAGCCAGUGUAAAAAGUCUGUGACCACACUAAGAGAAAAUUAUACCUCUUACUCCCCAAAGCAUUUAGGAGCUGGCUCACAAAUAUUCAUGGAUUUUACUGUCUUCUCUGCAAUAACACUAAGUCUACAUUUGCUUCUGAAACAUAUUCUAGAUGUGUAGCAUGGAGGUUAAAUCUUAACUGAGAUCUUUCAUGAUGUAACUGUUCCCUUUCUCAUUUACGCCUUGAAUAAGUGUUGAUAAAUGUUCACAUUUGCAGUAAAAUUCAGAAGCUAAGAGGGUUUCAUCUUGGCUUUGCAGUGACCAUAUGUGAUCAGGGACUAUUAAUAUUGAUCAUCACAAUAUAAUUCAAAGAGCAAAACUCAGGGAUGUUAAAGCCUUGGGGAAAAUUGUUGUAAUUUACUGUUAUGGGGAAAACUUUAUGGCUAGCUUUUGGGUUAAGAAUCCCUGAGAGUUUUCUGCAGGAAAGUUUUAUUAAGGAUGUGCCAAGUUAAAUACAGCUAUACAACACCAUCUGCUUACAUAUAUAGAUAUGUAUAUAUUUAUGUAUCUGCAAAAUCAAAUCCCUGCUUAUGUUACGUGAGAUUUUAGACUACGUAUGGGGAAUAAUCUUGAAAAUAUGGUAAUUCUUUGUAUCAGUUCUCUUAUUUCUAGUAUUCUUUAGCUUGUUCAUCUCAACCAAGUGCUUUCUGCUCCCUGAAAAAGUCCCCAAAGCCCAGACCAGAAGGACCAGCCAGAAUCGCUGGGACGACUCGCUCCCGCCACAUCGUUCCUUAGGCUGACACCGGUCUGCUUUGUGGUGCAAUGCAACUUCUCAGGGCACUAAACCAGACCUUCUGGGGUCCUUCGUGUUUUUUUCUGUCUCAACCUUGUGUUAGAAUUUUUUUUCUUCACAGAACCACAGAAAAUGGUGAGCUUGGGGAUAGCAGUACAGCUGGAUCGGUUUUCAUCAUGCAGAGCGCUGCCAGCAGGUUACAGUGAGCUGAGCCUGGGAGGGCUGGGUGCCCGCAGGGGCACUUCGAGAAUGAAAAGCGCGUGGAUAAUCCAGGCGGUGAUUGCUUCCUUCCUCCGGCUUUCGGUGGAAUGUCGAGCUGUGUCCCAGCGAGAGCCACUCGAGCACAAGGUAAAAACCCGCACAAAGCAGGAUCACAUGAAGGAGGAUGGGGAAACCAGCCAGGCCCUCAACAAUGAAAUUCCGAAUAACGUCCUUGAGGCGGUUUUACUAUUGUGAGCACUGCCACGGACCCACAUGCAGCUGCAGGAAACAUGGAUUUUGGUUUGUUUCUCAUCCCAUGGAUUGGCGUCCAGGCCCCGCAACCAGCAAGUAUGAUCUCUUACUGAAUAGGAGCAGAGCCGCAGGAGAGGAAAGAUUAAGGGUAUCAAAGGAAUACAUUUUUCAUUUCACUCCUUUCUUAUUACAGUAGAUUAAAAGGAGAAAAAAAAGAGUUUUGUUCAACAUUCAAUUUUGCAGAGAAUUAAAUAAGCCAAAAACAUUGUUCAGAAUUAGAGCACUGAAUAAAGGAUUUCAAAAACACAGUGUGUGGUUCGUGGUGGGAUUUUUAUUUCCUUUUAAGACAAGCCAUAUACAGCUGUACCAGAGCUAUUGUCCUUCGUCCCGCCGAAGAAAUAGUUUCUUUCUAAAGUGUUCAAUCCACUGAGACACGGAGGUGCUUUGAAAACUCAAAAAAGAAGAAGGAAGCCACUCAAACUCUCUUCUGGUUCAAAUGGCAAUUAUCUGAAAAGCAGCAAAGAGUCAGGAAUACAUGGAUAACUUAAGCAGCUUUUGAUCGCCUGGCUAUGAACCAUAGUGGGAUUUUUGUCUGCUUUGGGAGUGAUACCCAGCAGCAAUCAGUGUGCACAGGCAAGAUGGAAGUCAGACCUAAAGGAGUGGUGUGAGGGCACUGAUCUCUCUCAGCACAGAUGGCCAUUACAAGCCUGCACAGGAGAAGCCACUUUCAUCUCUCGUCAAUGGAGAGAUACUCCUUGCUGUUGAACCUCAAGGGGCCACAAUUUGAAGAAACAGAAAAAAACUUAAAAAUGUUCCAAUUUCUGUGGGUCAGGAGAGUCUCUCUUCCUUCUCUUCUACAGGGACUGUCAAACAAACAGCAAGACUUCCAGCACCAUUUUCAAGCUGCACCAAGACCAACACUAGCAAAAGCAGAAGGCUAAAAGAUGGACCCUUAUUCACAAGUGUACCUUUCAGAUUCAUCAUUAUCAGUGGCAGGAGGGUUCUCAAAAUAAAAAAGACAGAAACACAACUUGGGCAAGUACAGAGGGGUCAGAAGUUCCGAUCAUUUUAGCUUCUGUAUGCUGCAGUCUCUCAUUCUCCAGUGAAUUCCAUGCUCCAGGCAGAGCUGGGGAGGGGCUUGUGUCGUGGGGAGCCUGGAAGGCUUCAGGAGCUGAUUCUGACUGUGCUGAGCUGGGAGUGCGGAUGAAAGCAAGUCACAGGACCUCGGUGUUGACAUCUCCAGUGCAACAAUUCCAGUGACUCAAAUUACCAAAUUGCAGCCCAACUGAGUGUUAACCAGAAUACCAGGGGACUCUGGCCAGUGGUUGGUAGAAGAAAGGCAUCAGACAUCUUCCUUUUGAUUUCUGUGAAGUUGGCUGCCUCAUGGCUCUGGCAUGGAUGGAGGAAGAAACAAAGAGCCAACCAAAAAAACCCAAACCUGUAACUUUUUUUUUUUUUCUAAGAGAAUAUGACUUGGAAAAGUGUGAAGACAGGGCUAUCUUUCCUCACAAUAAUGUUCUUUGGAAGGGAAGUUCUCAUGACAUAAGCUUAGGUACACAUGGGAAACCUGACUCGAGCCUUAAAGCUGUGCAGUAAAUGGAGGUGCUGCGGCCGCAGGAAGUGUGUGAAAGGGAGGUUUUUGGAUCACUUUCAGAGAUUUUAGGCCAAAUGAGCCCAUAGUGCCAGGGCAUAAUAUGACUGAAAAUAGUUUCGUUAAUAACACAGCUUGAGCAGCUGGAAGAGCUAAGGGCCGACCACAAAAAUCUCAUCAGUGCUAGUGAGUCCAGGGCAGCUGAAAUUCAAGCUCAGAGCCAUUUCAAAUCGUUAUACAGCUGGCUAAAAAAUAAUCUCCCACAUAACAAGAGUUUGGGAAUUUGGGAAUGGAUGAACUUCAGUUUGAGUUCCCGAAUUCCCCGUACAAUUUUGUCGUUGUUUAUAAUGAUGGCUCCGGCAAUCUUCAGGCUGCCAGCAAAUCCGGUUUUAGAGAGUACGAGCGGACACAGGUCAGCCAGAGUGGGCUGACCAUGCACCCAGCACAGCCUCCUGCAGGACAGGAGGCUCACGUCUGGCUGUGACAGAGCAAUGACAAAAACCAUCCUCAGGAAGUGCGGUGCCUUAUGUACACAAGCUGGCCGAGGGGCCCUCUGCCCAUAACCACUUGUUCAUACGCCUAUAGAAGAUGCAGCAUUGGAAGAAGACCUAAGAAGGUGUCAGAGGGAAACCUGGCAACCAGGAAUAGAGAAUAAACUCCUGAUCAAGUUACUCAGCGGAAGCAUGGACCUUGUUCCAUCAGCUGAGACCUCUACUUGAUUGUUUGCAGGCAGGGAGCAAGCAGCAAAGCCCGAUGGCUUUGGAGAUGCCAAACUCAGCAGUGGGACUCAGAGCUGUGGGAGGUGUUGGCAGUCCCUGCCCUGCACCAGGGCGGGUGGGUGUCCCAGCAGGACAGCUCUGUCCCCAGCUGCCACUGUGGCUCCUAUUGUGCAGAGAGAAGGUUCCUGGGCCCAAAGAGCUCCUCAGAGGGGCUGCAGAGGGGAUGAAAAGGAGGGAAACCCCCAGUGGGCUUUUUUUCUUUUAUCUUGCAGAUGAGCCAGAUGGCAGGAGCAGCAGAAACCAAAGGAGGAGCAUGAAGUGUUUAAGAAUCAGAUUGCUAAAAUGCAGGGAAAACUGAAGCCAAAAACUAGGCCUGGACAAAACAGAGCACCAGAGUGGAAAAACAAGAACAGGAGAAAUGUAGCCAAAAGGCAAAAGAAUAAAAUACAACAGCUCGGAUCCAUUCAAAUUCCAACUUUGUGCUUUCAGGAGAGGAGACUUAGAGAAACCAAAGAGCUGGCACCAAGUCCCCUUUGUAGCUGCAGCUGCUCACAGUUAGCGGCCCCCAAACUCCCUGCACUGCAGUGCCCAAUGCCUGCAGAUUUCUCUCAUGAUGUGAAAAAAGGGCAAAAGGCACAGAGUGACCAAUGGGUCCGCCUCACAUCUUGCACGCAGCAGCAGCAGGCUCACGCUUGGCUCAUCUCACAGGUGGGGAGGAUUGGCAGCAUUGCCACCGCCCAGGGCAGCUCCUGCCCACCCACAGCUGCUCUGCAUCAGGCCCACAGUGGUGGGGGCACACGGUGUUCCACCCGGAAGCCCUCCAUCCUCCUUCCUCCCAGGGCUUCCUGCUUUCUCUGGAGGGACACCACUGAGCUGUGUUUCAGGUGACUUUCAGAUAGGGUUGCUGUCAGGCAGGAAGACGCCUUACUACAAGAUGCUGGAACACAUCCUCUCUUCUCAAGAGGACUCUGAUUUUUCAGAGCAAAUGCCCAUAAGAGGGGUGUGACAUCAGCCACACCACCUGCAGGACAUGCCGCAGACUGAUGGGCACUGCUGCUCCAUCAGCCCUGGAGGAAGCAUUACAAACCCAGCAGCCACCCCCCAGUUUCAGUAACGAUCCCGUGACACUUUGUGGAAAAAAAAACAACAUUGUAUUUGAUUUACAAUUAACAGGAUUUACAAAUAACGACAAAGAAACAGAUUAGCCAUGAAAUUAAGAUGCUUUUGUUGAUGAAGUAGCUGGCAAAGCAGCUUUAUGUAGCAGUCAUGUACCUCAGUCCUACACAGUGUACAAUAACUUACAGCCCAGGCAAGGUCAGGAACGGUUAUACGCAAAUGCAACAAAUCGAGGACAAAAAACCCAAAACAAAAGCCCUCCCAGCCCACAGGACCAGCACUGGUGAGGCUUUCCAUUUCUGAAGCUGAUGGGAAGAUCCGCUGCCAAAUACCAGGAAGCUUUCAGAAAGGAAAAAAAUACAAAUCAGCCAACGGUAGAACUGACCUUAUGGUCUUGUGGCUGCCUGGGUCAGCUGGCUGAAGCUGGUGGUGGGCGCUGGGCAGGGCAGGGAGUGAACUCACACCAAUGGCAGCGCUUCCUUAAAAUGCUACUUCACUGCCAACGCUGGCGAGACAAAAGGGAACGAAGAACUCUGAUGUGCAAUACAGCAAUUGAAGAAGGCGUACCGAGCUUUUGGAUUUGUAUGUAGCUUACAUACGUUGUAAGCGCACACUUCUGACUAGUGAUUUUGACUGUCUUUGCUAUGGGUUGAUGGUGUUGUUUGAUCAGAUGUGGAAUUCCAAGUCUCAAAACGGAGUGGUUUUCAACACGUGGGCAUACAGGUUUUCCAAUAUUGUACUAGUAUUUUACAUCACAAAUACAAUAAAAACAAGUGAUGGUAACCCUAGGACAGUUCCAAAUAAUAAAAAAAAAUCAU